GACGAACGCUGGCGGCGUGCUUAACACAUGCAAGUCGAACGAUGAAGCCGGAGCUUGCUCUGGUGAAUUAGUGGCGAACGGGUGAGUAACACGUGAGUAACCUGCCCUUGACUCUGGGAUAACUGCGGGAAACUGUAGCUAAUACCGGAUACGACCCUCGGAGGCAUCUCCUGGGGGUGGAAAGAAUUUCGGUCAAGGAUGGACUCGCGGCCUAUCAGCUAGUUGGUGAGGUAAAGGCUCACCAAGGCGACGACGGGUAGCCGGCCUGAGAGGGUGACGGGCCACACUGGGACUGAGACACGGCCCAGACUCCUACGGGAGGCAGCAGUGGGGAAUAUUGCACAAUGGGCGCAAGCCUGAUGCAGCAACGCCGCGUGAGGGAUGACGGCCUUCGGGUUGUAAACCUCUUUCAGUAGGGAAGAAGCGAAAGUGACGGUACCUGCAGAAGAAGCGCCGGCUAACUACGUGCCAGCCGCCGCCGUAA
rnacentral:rRNA from 1 species